rfam:Myotis brandtii contig227587, whole genome shotgun sequence.
GGCAGUUCUCAGGUGAGGCACCCCAGAAUCAGGCUCCCUCCUCUCUGGUUCUGGGUGCAUCACCCGAGAACUGCA